ACGGGUGAGUAAUGUCUGGGAAACUGCCUGAUGGAGGGGGAUAACUACUGGAAACGGUAGCUAAUACCGCAUGACCUCGCAAGAGCAAAGUGGGGGACCUUCGGGCCUCACGCCAUCGGAUGUGCCCAGAUGGGAUUAGCUAGUAGGUGAGGUAAUGGCUCACCUAGGCGACGAUCCCUAGCUGGUCUGAGAGGAUGACCAGCCACACUGGAACUGAGACACGGUCCAGACUCCUACGGGAGGCAGCAGUGGGGAAUAUUGCACAAUGGGCGCAAGCCUGAUGCAGCCAUGCCGCGUGUGUGAAGAAGGCCUUAGGGUUGUAAAGCAUUUUCAGCGAGGAGGAAGGGUUCAGUGUUAAUAGCACUGAGCAUUGACGUUACUCGCAGAAGAAGCACCGGCUAACUCCGUGCCAGCAGCCGCGGUAAUACGGAGGGUGCAAGCGUUAAUCGGAAUUACUGGGCGUAAAGCGCACGCAGGCGGUUUGUUAAGUCAGAUGUGAAAUCCCCGAGCUUAACUUGGGAACUGCAUUUGAAACUGGCAAGCUAGAGUCUUGUAGAGGGGGGUAGAAUUCCAGGUGU
rnacentral:rRNA from 1 species